rnacentral:rRNA from 1 species
UGGUGAAUAUUGGGCAAUGGGCGCAAGCCUGACCCAGCAACGCCGCGUGAAGGAAGAAGGCUUUCGGGUUGUAAACUUCUUUUCUCAGGGACGAAGCAAGUGACGGUACCUGAGGAAUAAGCCACGGCUAACUACGUGCC